rnacentral:rRNA from 1 species
UACGUAGGUGGCAAGCGUUGUCCGGAAUUACUGGGUGUAAAGGGAGCGUAGGCGGGGUGUCAAGUUGGAUGUGAAAUGCCGCGGCUCAACUGCGGAGCUGCAUCCAAAACUGGCGUUCUUGAGUGAAGUAGAGGCAGGCGGAAUUCCUAGUGUAGCGGUGAAAUGCGUAGAUAUUAGGAGGAACACCAGUGGCGAAGGCGGCCUGCUGGGCUUUAACUGACGCUGAGGCUCGAAAGCGUGGGGAGCAAACAGGAUUAGAUACCCGGGUA